AUUGAACGCUGGCGGCAGGCCUAACACAUGCAAGUCGAACGGUAACAGGAAGCAGCUUGCUGCUUCGCUGACGAGUGGCGGACGGGUGAGUAAUGUCUGGGAAACUGCCUGAUGGAGGGGGAUAACUACUGGAAACGGUAGCUAAUACCGCAUAACGUCGCAAGACCAAAGAGGGGGACCUUAGGGCCUCUUGCCAUCGGAUGUGCCCAGAUGGGAGUAGCUAGUAGGUGGGGUAACGGCUCACCUAGGCGACGAUCCCUAGCUGGUCUGAGAGGAUGACCAGCCACACUGGAACUGAGACACGGUCCAGACUCCUACGGGAGGCAGCAGUGGGGAAUAUUGCACAAUGGGCGCAAGCCUGAUGCAGCCAUGCCGCGUGUAUGAAGAAGGCCUUCGGGUUGUAAAGUACUUUCAGCGGGGAGGAAGGGAGUAAAGUUAAUACCUUUGCUCAUUGACGUUACCCGCAGAAGAAGCACCGGCUAACUCCGUG
rnacentral:rRNA from 1 species